AUUGAACGCUGGCGGCAUGCCUUACACAUGCAAGUCGAACGGUAACAGGUCUUCGGAUGCUGACGAGUGGCGAACGGGUGAGUAAUACAUUGGAACGUGCCUAGUAGUGGGGGAUAACUACUCGAAAGAGUGGCUAAUACCGCAUGAGAUCUACGGAUGAAAGCAGGGGAUCGCAAGACCUUGUGCUACUAGAGCGGCCGAUGGCAGAUUAGGUAGUUGGUGGGAUAAAAGCUUACCAAGCCGACGAUCUGUAGCUGGUCUGAGAGGACGAUCAGCCACACUGGGACUGAGACACGGCCCAGACUCCUACGGGAGGCAGCAGUGGGGAAUUUUGGACAAUGGGCGUAAGCCUGAUCCAGCAAUGCCGCGUGCAGGAUGAAGGCCUUCGGGUUGUAAACUGCUUUUGUACGGAACGAAAAGCCCUGGGUUAAUACCCUGGGGUCAUGACGGUACCGUAAGAAUAAGCACCGGCUAACUACGUGCCAGCCGCCGCAGUAAAAC
rnacentral:rRNA from 1 species